CCAGUAACGGCGAGUGAAGCGGCAAGAGCUCAAAUUUGAAAUCUGGCCCCUCCGGGGUCCGAGUUGUAAUUUGCAGAGGAUGCUUCGGGCGCGGUCCCCGUCUAAGUACCCUGGAACGGGUCGUCAUAGAGGGUGAGAAUCCCGUCUGGGACGGGUGGCCGUGUCCGUGUGAAGCUCCUUCGACGAGUCGAGUUGUUUGGGAAUGCAGCUCUAAAUGGGUGGUAAAUUUCAUCUAAAGCUAAAUAUUGGCCGGAGACCGAUAGCGCACAAGUAGAGUGAUCGAAAGAUGAAAAGCACUUUGAAAAGAGAGUUAAACAGCACGUGAAAUUGUUGAAAGGGAAGCGCUUGCGACCAGACUCGCCCGCGGGGGUUCAGCCGGUACUCGUACCGGUGUACUCCCCCGGGGGCGGGCCAGCGUCGGUUUGGGCGGUCGGUCAAAGGCCUCCGGAAUGUGUCGCCCCCCGGGGCGUCUUAUAGCCGGAGGUGCAAUGCGGCCAGCCUGGACCGAGGAACGCGCUUCGGCUCGGACG
rnacentral:rRNA from 1 species